AUAAGUAUUUAACUAACUAAUUAUAUUUUUAAUAUAACCUCAAUAUUUCUGGUGAAUUUUAAUAGAAAUGUUUGAUAAUUAUUUACUUGUACUGAUCUGUUUUAGAAACUAAAAUUAUUAAGUAUUUCCUACCAAUUUUCCUAAAUAAAGUUACAUCUUAAUAAACGAGUUUAAAUAAAUUGAGUAAAUUUCGCGUUUAAAGUGAUCACGUGUGCAGCUCCGCAGAAAACAAAGACAAUCUGCUUUCCUCAGCAACGACGUCGACUAGCCAUACUCCUCGCAACUCCUGUUUCGCGGCUUAAUCGAAGCCACCUGAAGGACGGCUUCCUCAGCAACGGCAAGGCCCGCACUCCUCGCAUAUCCUGUUUCGCGGCUCAAGCAAGAGGCACCUUUCACUGAAGGACUGCUUUCCUCAGCAACGACGUGAACAGCAUUACUCGAAUAUCCUGAUUCAGCUGAUCUACCCGUCUUCGUCCAAGUGGAGUUGGCAGAGGAGGUCAUAAAAAUCUACAUCCUUCGGGACAAUGAUGGGGCAGUCAGCGAUGUAGGAGUUGUGAUUGAGGGGCAUCACUGUC